rnacentral:tRNA from 2 species
GAGGACUUAGCUUAAAUUAAAGUGUUUGGUUUGCAGUCAAUUGAUGUGAGAUAAACUCUCGCAGUCCUUA